AAUAUCGGUGCCAGCCGCCGCGGUAAUACCGAAGCCCCAAGUGGUCGUCGUUAUUAUUGGGCCUAAAACGUCCGUAGCCGGUUUGGUACAUUCGUGGGUAAAUCAGACAGCUUAACUGUUUGAAUUCUGCGAGGACGGCCAAACUUGAGACCGGGAGAGGUGUAGGGUACCUGCGGGGUAGGGGUAAAAUCCUGUCAUCCCGUAGGGACCACCUGUUGCGAAGGCGCUACACUAGAACGGAUCUGACGGUCAGGGACGAAGCCUAGGGGCACGAACCGGAUUAGAUACCCGGGUAGUCCUAGGUGUAAACGCUGUGGACUUGGUGUCGGGAAUCUCUAGAGGAUUCUCGGUGCCGUAGUGAAGAUGUUUAGUCCACUGCCUGGGGAGUACGGUCGCAAGGCUGAAACUUAAAGGAAUUGGCGGGGGAGCACUGCAA
rnacentral:rRNA from 1 species